rnacentral:rRNA from 1 species
AUUGAACGCUGGCGGCAGGCCUAACACAUGCAAGUCGAGCGGAUGAAGGGAGCUUGCUCCUGGAUUCAGCGGCGGACGGGUGAGUAAUGCCUAGGAAUCUGCCUGGUAGUGGGGGAUAACGUCCGGACACGGGCGCUAAUACCGCAUACGUCCUGAGGGAGAAAGUGGGGGAUCUUCGGACCUCGCGCUAUCAGCUGAGCCUAGGUCGGAUUAGCUAGUUGGUUGGGUAAAGGCCUACCAAGGCGACGAUCCGUAACUGAUCUGAGAGGAUGAUCAGUCACACUGGAACUGAGACACGGUCCAGACUCCUACGGGAGGCAGCAGUGGGGAAUAUUGGACAAUGGGCGAAAGCCUGAUCCAGCAAUGCCGCGUGUGUGAAGAAGGUCUUCGGAUUGUAAAGCACUUUAAGUUGGGAGGAAGGGCAGUAAGUUAAUACCUUGCUGUUUUGACGUUACCAACAGAAUAAGCACCGGCUAACUUCGUG